AAUAACCUCAUUUUUUGUUUUUUCGUGUCUAACGUUUGAUCAUUCGUCUCAUUUAAAAAAUUUGUAAAAAAACGUAAAAAAAUAGUCACGUAUAAAGUACUAUUCAUAUUUUAUCAUCUAGUAACAAUAAAAAUAUUAAUCGCAAAAAAUUUUUAAAUACGACAAAUGCUCAAAUGUUGGACACGGGAAA
rfam:Oryza brachyantha chromosome 2, whole genome shotgun sequence.